GGCUCCGUUGGUCUAGGGGUAUGACUCCUCGCUUAGGGUGGGAGAGGGUCCCGGGUUCAAAUCCCGGGCCGAGCCC